GCAAAAUGGAUUCUGAUUUAAUGAGACAAAGAAGGAAAGUGCCAGCACUCUGGGGAAUAUCUACAUUUAAGGUAUUUGAAUGAGAAAGAGGAUGUUAAGUCUAAUAUCUUAGACUUGCACUCUUUAGGAACUGAUUUUUCUUUUUUUUUUUUGCUAGUUUCUAUCUAUUUUAGCUUUCUGGCUGCCUAUCAGUAUAAUAACAACCUAACUCAGCCUUAAGCAUCUAGGUUAAAAUAUAAGAAAAAGACACAGAAAUUUUUUAUAAAACAAACUGUCAAAACUAAUAUUUCUUAUAGUCUUAGAGGUCUCAUGAAAAAAAUGCUGGCUGUAGACAUAACAGAAUCUUUGAAAUCUUAGCAGUCCUUUAGUUUAAUACAGUGGAGGAAAGAAAUCUUUCUGGGUAAAGAGGUACUUCUGG
rnacentral:lncRNA from 1 species